rnacentral:ncRNA from 2 species
CGGCGUAAACAUAGUUUUUGUGCCCUGAAAAGCCUUAGAGAGAACUCCGGUGAAAAUCCGGGACGGUCCCGCCGCUGUAUGGGAGUACGAAACCGGCAUAAUUUCAAAACCAGUGGAAGGUAGCCAAUCCCUCUGCGAAGGAGCCGGAAGUAGGACGAUCCCCGAGUCAGAAGAACUGCAAAAACGGAAAACUUGUA